rnacentral:lncRNA from 1 species
AGACCUUAAAGUCAAUUCUCAACUGUUUACUGAGUAGCUACUAUGUUGUCAGGCUACAAAGGUGCUUGGGGAAUCCUGAAGUAUAACCACCCCUAAGACUUUUCAAGGAUGAAUCAUCUCUUUGGAAAUAGAACAAACACAUGAACAAUGAAGAAACUGAGGAUGGCUUGAAAUUCAUUACAUCUAGAAGAAACUCUGAGCAAGGUGGCAUCAACAAAAUUAAAUCAUCUGCUUGGAAGCCAGGGGCCAGCUUAUUAGAUAAUGGACACUAA